rnacentral:lncRNA from 1 species
UUUCUUCUCUGCGUUUCUUCUCUCUUCAAAUACAUGUCUGGGCUUGCUCCUAAUCCAGACAAAAGCAACCUCUUUAAGGUGGCUAGGGAUGUCAAAACCGAGCUCCUCAGAAUUCUUGGCUACACGAUCCCUCCCUGUCAGGUACCUAGGAGUCCCCUUAAUUUCUUCCAGGAUAAAAAAACUGUCGAGUUUGGAGGCAAGAUAAAAUUGGCAGAAGUUUAGUUUACCCUUCUCUUUCAGUAUCAUUAACCAUUCUGAGCUAUACGGGAAGGUCCAAAACAUUGCCUUGUUUGGAUGGACUGAAAACUCCUCUAAACUUUGGCUUAGGAGAUUGGGACACAUCUCCAUAGAGAGAAUGAAAAUGUUAGUAAAUGAUGGAGUCUUAACACGAGUCUUUGGGAAAGUGGCCACAGCAGACCACUAAAAGUUCCAAGAGGAAUACUGAGUUACUCGAGAUCAUACACACAGAUAUCUGUCGGCCAUUUGGCCCAUUUCCUACCCCUUGCAUCUGUCAUUUCUGCUUUUGCCUCAGCCUUGCCUCAAUUAUUUGACGUGAUUUUUGUGCUAAACGCUUGGAUUGAAGAGGGAGAUUCCCAAUUACAAGGUAGUGUUUGCUGAAUUUAUAAUUUAAAGAAUUGCUAUUUAAUUAUCCAACUUAAAGAAGUUGUAUGGUGUUACCAUAGAUAUUGAUCUUUAGAUUAUAGCGCUUGAGAUCUGAAUUUAAAAAGUAUGUUCACCUAGAGAAUAUUCAAUUGAUCACUGGUAUUAACUUGGUGAUUGUUUAUAUCAUUAAAUCCGUAUAACAAUUAUGCACCCACAGCCGGCAACAAUUCUAUAUUUUAUUAAUUCGAACUUGGUCCAUUCCAGUUUUAUAUUAGUUUGGACGUCGAAAAUCUUAAAUAUGUUUAACUAAUACUUGGGUUCUGUGUUUUGCUUUGGAGAAUUCUUCUUUGUUCCAAAAAAGAAAAAAUAAUAAUAAUAAUUUGUGAUUCUUGUAUACUCAGCUCAUUUUGGUUUAAUUUGUUCAUUUUUAUUGUUGUUUAAGAAAGU